rnacentral:rRNA from 1 species
GAGCACGUAGGUGGGUUUGUAAGUCAGACGUGAAAGCCUUCUGUUCAACGGAAGAAUUGCAUCUGAAACUACAAACCUUGAGUGUAGGAGGGGAGAAUGGAACUUCUGGUGGAGCGGUGAAAUGCGUAGAUAUCAGAGGGAACGCCGGCGGCGAAAGCGAUUCUCUGGCCUAUUACUGACACUCAGUGUGCGGAAGCUAGGGGAGCAAACGGGAUUAGAUACCCCGGUAGUCCUAGCCGUAAACGAUGGGCACUAAGUAGAGGGAAUUACCGAUGUUCUCUCUGCCGUAGCUAACGCAUUAAGUGCCCCGCCUGGGGAGUACGGCCGCAAGGCUAAAACUCAAAAGAAUUGACGGGGGCUCGCACAAGCGGUGGAGCAUGUGGCUUAAUUCGAUGCAACGCGAAAAACCUUACCGGGGCUUGACAUGGUAGAAGUAGGAACCCGAAAGGGUAACGAACGGUAUCCAGUCCGUGACUAUCACAGGUGUUGCAUGGCUGUCGUCAGCUCGUGUCGUGAGACGUUGGGUUAAGUCCCCUAACGAGCGGAACCCUUGUUUUUAGUUGCCAGCGGGUUGUGCCGGGCACUCUAGAAAGACUGCCGUCGUCAAGACGGAGGAAGGUGGGGAUGACGUCAAGUCAUCAUGGCCCUUAUGCCCCGGGCUGCACACGUGCUACAAUGGCCGGUACAAACGGAAGCGAAGCCGAGAGGUGAAGCGAAUCC